CUGAGACUUGAUUGCUGGGAAUUCAACUUAGGGGAAUUUAGAUUAUUUGAAGAAAUAUUGUGAUAAGUACGGCGACAUUUUGAAGUUAAAGUACUGCGAUAAUUUUAUGGUUUUGUCGAGAUUUCGAUCCGACCCAAAAGAUCUGUAUCACUCAUUUCUAGAUUAAUUUCUAAAAUUUUUAAUCGUAUAAAAAAUUGAUCAUGUAACAUUUUCAGACAUCCAGAAAAGUUGUUGUUAAAAGUGUAAAUAAUGAUCCAGCCAA